rnacentral:rRNA from 1 species
UACAGAGGUCUCAAGCGUUGUUCGGAUUCAUUGGGCGUAAAGGGUGUGUAGGUGGCGCCGUAAGUCGGGUGUGAAAUUUCGGAGCUUAACUCCGAAACUGGCAUUCGAUACUGCGGUGCUUGAGGACUGGAGAGGAGACUGGAAUUCAUGGUGUAGCAGUGAAAUGCGUAGAGAUCAUGAGGAAGACCAGUGGCGAAGGCAGCUCGCUAGGACGGUACUGACGCUGAGACGCGAAAGCGUGGGGAGCGAACAGG